rnacentral:rRNA from 1 species
UACGUAGGUGGCGAGCGUUAUCCGGAAUGAUUGGGCGUAAAGGGUGCGUAGGCGGGCUUUUAAGUCAGCGGUAAAAAUUCGGGGCUCAACCCCGUCCGGCCGUUGAAACUGGGGGCCUUGAGUGGGCGAGAAGAAGGCGGAAUGCGUGGUGUAGCGGUGAAAUGCAUAGAUAUCACGCAGAACCCCGAUUGCGAAGGCAGCCUUCCGGCGCCCUACUGACGCUGAGGCACGAAAGUGCGGGGAUCGAACAGG